rnacentral:rRNA from 1 species
UACGGGGGGGAGCAAGCGUUGUUCGGAUUUACUGGGCGUAAAGGGCGCGUAGGCGGCCACCGCAAGUCGGUUGUGAAAUCUCUGGGCUUAACCCAGAAAGGUCAACCGAUACUGCGGGGCUAGAGUGCAGAAGGGGCAACUGGAAUUCUCGGUGUAGCGGUGAAAUGCGUAGAUAUCGAGAGGAACACCUGCGGCGAAGGCGGGUUGCUGGGCUGACACUGACGCUGAAGAGCGAAAGCGUGGGGAGCGAACAGG